AGAGUUUGAUCCUGGCUCAGGAUGAACGCUAGCUACAGGCUUAACACAUGCAAGUCGAGGGGCAGCAUGGUCUUAGCUUGCUAAGACUGAUGGCGACCGGCGCACGGGUGAGAAACACGUAUCCAACCUGCCGUCUACUCUUGGACAGCCUUCUGAAAGGAAGAUUAAUACAAGAUGGCAUCAUGAGUCCGCAUGUUCACAUGAUUAAAGGUAUUCCGGUAGACGAUGGGGAUGCGUUCCAUUAGAUAGUAGGCGGGGUAACGGCCCACCUAGUCUUCGAUGGAUAGGGGUUCUGAGAGGAAGGUCCCCCACAUUGGAACUGAGACACGGUCCAAACUCCUACGGGAGGCAGCAGUGAGGAAUAUUGGUCAAUGGGCGAGAGCCUGAACCAGCCAAGUAGCGUGAAGGGUGACUGCCCUAUGGGUUGUAAACUUCUUUUAUAAAGGAAUAAAGUCGGGUAUGCAUACCCGUUUGCAUGUACUUUAUGAAUAAGGAUCGGCUAACUCCGUGCCAGCAGCCGCGGUAAUACGGAGGAUCCGAGCGUUAUCCGGAUUUAUUGGGUUUAAAGGGAGCGUAGAUGGAUGUUUAAGUCAGUUGUGAAAGUUUGCGGCUCAACCGUAAAAUUGCAGUUGAUACUGGAUAUCUUGAGUGCAGUUGAGGCAGGCGGAAUUCGUGGUGUAGCGGUGAAAUGCUUAGAUAUCACGAAGAACUCCGAUUGCGAAGGCAGCCUGCUAAGCUGCAACUGACAUUGAGGCUCGAAGGUGUGGGUAUCAAACAGGAUUAGAUACCCUGGUAGUCCACACGGUAAACGAUGAAUACUCGCUGUUUGCGAUAUACGGCAAGCGGCCAAGCGAAAGCGUUAAGUAUUCCACCUGGGGAGUACGCCGGCAACGGUGAAACUCAAAGGAAUUGACGGGGGCCCGCACAAGCGGAGGAACAUGUGGUUUAAUUCGAUGAUACGCGAGGAACCUUACCCGGGCUUAAAUUGCAGAUGAAUUACGGUGAAAGCCGUAAGCCGCAAGGCAUCUGUGAAGGUGCUGCAUGGUUGUCGUCAGCUCGUGCCGUGAGGUGUCGGCUUAAGUGCCAUAACGAGCGCAACCCUUGUUGUCAGUUACUAACAGGUUCUGCUGAGGACUCUGACAAGACUGCCAUCGUAAGAUGUGAGGAAGGUGGGGAUGACGUCGAAUCAGCACGGCCCUUACGUCCGGGGCUACACACGCGUUACAAUGGGGGGUACAGAGGGCCGCUACCACGCGAGUGGAUGCCAAUCCCCAAAACCUCUCUCAGUUCGGACUGGAGUCUGCAACCCGACUCCACGAAGCUGGAUUCGCUAGUAAUCGCGCAUCAGCCACGGCGCGGUGAAUACGUUCCCGGGCCUUGUACACACCGCCCGUCAAGCCAUGGGAGCCGGGGGUACCUGAAGUGCGUAACCGCGAGGAGCGCCCUAGGGUAAAACUGGUGACUGGGGCUAAGUCGUAACAAGGUA
rnacentral:rRNA from 1 species